UACGAGUAUUGUGAGUGGUGCCACCGU
rnacentral:piRNA from 1 species